rnacentral:rRNA from 1 species
CGUAGGGUGCAAGCGUUAAUCGGAAUUACUGGGCGUAAAGCGUGCGCAGGCGGUUAUGUAAGACAGAUGUGAAAUCCCCGGGCUCAACCUGGGAACUGCAUUUGUGACUGCAUAGCUUGAGUGCGGCAGAGGGGGAUGGAAUUCCGCGUGUAGCAGUGAAAUGCGUAGAUAUGCGGAGGAACACCGAUGGCGAAGGCAAUCCCCUGGGCCUGCACUGACGCUCAUGCACGAAAGCGUGGGGAGCAAACAGGAUUAGAUACCCUGGUAGUCCACGCCCUAAACGAUGUCAACUGGUUGUUGGGAAGGUUCCUUCUCAGUAACGUAGCUAACGCGUGAAGUUGACCGCCUGGGGAGUACGGCCGCAAGGUUG